AGAGUUUGAUCCUGGCUCAGGACGAACGCUGGCGGCGCGCCUAACACAUGCAAGUCGAACGAGAGAGAGGGAGCUUGCUUUCUUGAUCGAGUGGCGAACGGGUGAGUAACGCGUGAGGAACCUGCCUCAAAGAGGGGGACAACAGUUGGAAACGACUGCUAAUACCGCAUAAGCCCACGGCUCGGCAUCGAGCAGAGGGAAAAGGAGCAAUCCGCUUUGAGAUGGCCUCGCGUCCGAUUAGCUAGUUGGUGAGGUAACGGCCCACCAAGGCGACGAUCGGUAGCCGGACUGAGAGGUUGAACGGCCACAUUGGGACUGAGACACGGCCCAGACUCCUACGGGAGGCAGCAGUGGGGAAUAUUGCACAAUGGGGGAAACCCUGAUGCAGCGACGCCGCGUGGAGGAAGAAGGUCUUCGGAUUGUAAACUCCUGUUGUUGAGGAAGAUAAUGACGGUACUCAACAAGGAAGUGACGGCUAACUACGUGCCAGCAGCCGCGGUAAAACGUAGGUCACAAGCGUUGUCCGGAAUUACUGGGUGUAAAGGGAGCGCAGGCGGGCGAUCAAGUUGGAAGUGAAAUCCAUGGGCUCAACCCAUGAACUGCUUUCAAAACUGAUUGUCUUGAGUAGUGCAGAGGUAGGCGGAAUUCCCGGUGUAGCGGUGGAAUGCGUAGAUAUCGGGAGGAACACCAGUGGCGAAGGCGGCCUACUGGGCACCAACUGACGCUGAGGCUCGAAAGUGUGGGUAGCAAACAGGAUUAGAUACCCUGGUAGUCCACACCGUAAACGAUGAUUACUAGGUGUUGGAGGAUUGACCCCUUCAGUGCCGCAGUUAACACAAUAAGUAAUCCACCUGGGGAGUACGACCGCAAGGUUGAAACUCAAAGGAAUUGACGGGGGCCCGCACAAGCAGUGGAGUAUGUGGUUUAAUUCGACGCAACGCGAAGAACCUUACCAAGUCUUGACAUCCUGCGACGGUGCUAGAAAUAGUAUUUUCCUUCGGGACGCAGAGACAGGUGGUGCAUGGUUGUCGUCAGCUCGUGUCGUGAGAUGUUGGGUUAAGUC
rnacentral:rRNA from 1 species